rnacentral:rRNA from 1 species
AAUGAACGCUGGCGGCAUGCCUAACACAUGCAAGUCGAACGAGACCUUCGGGUCUAGUGGCGCACGGGUGCGUAACGCGUGGGAAUCUGCCCUUGGGUUCGGAAUAACAGAGGGAAACUUCUGCUAAUACCGGAUAAUGACGUAAGUCCAAAGAUUUAUCGCCCAAGGAUGAGCCCGCGUAGGAUUAGCUAGUUGGUGAGGUAAAGGCUCACCAAGGCGACGAUCCUUAGCUGGCUGAGAGGAUGAUCAGCCACACUGGGACUGAGACACGGCCCAGACUCCUACGGGAGGCAGCAGUGGGGAAUAUUGGACAAUGGGCGAAAGCCUGAUCCAGCAAUGCCGCGUGAGUGAUGAAGGCCUUAGGGUUGUAAAGCUCUUUUACCCGGGAUGAUAAUGACAGUACCGGGAGAAUAAGCUCCGGCUAACUCCGUG